rnacentral:lncRNA from 1 species
CCCGCACCUCCGCUUCGGCCGGCCGGCCAGGGCAGUGGGCGGAAGGGGGGAGGGAGAAAAGGGGGGCCGGGAAGGUUAUCUUCCAGCUCAAGGCUUCAGUCCGCAUCUCGCCUCCGCCCCACCAGGACUAUUGUUCCCAAGUCCCCACCCCCACCCCGGAUAGGAAGUGAUAGUCACAUCCCCUUCGGCAACAUCCCCGAGGGAGUCCGGAGUCGGCUUCCUGCAGGACGACCCCCACCUCCCCUGACCACCUCCACCGGGAGCCGCCUGGACCCCAAGGCCACCCCAAACCCGCGUCCCAGCACGUUAGGCGCGGAAGGGGGCGGGCUGCGGUCAUCAGAAGCAGAAGGACUCAUGCUGGUAGCAAAACCUCUUUCAUCUCCGAAGGGGGAGCAACUAGAAUCCCGAGUGCGCCCUUCCCGUACCGUCCAGUGUUGGCUGAAUUGGAGGGGAUCUGCCUGCCUCCCUUGAGAUUGAACUUCGGAAUGAAAUGGAUCGAACUCAGGACCUUGGGCUUGCGAUACCAAACAGACUCUUAACUCAGUCGAUUAACUGUGCAAGGUGGAGGUCAUCAGGACAGCAGUAAUAUGCGGAAGCUGACUCUGCAGGGGUGAAGGCAGCCUCACCAAACUGCCACAGGGAGACAGUUCAGAGCCAGGAUCCGAUGCCAGAGUCUACGAGCAGCUCCACCAGCCUGAAGAGACACAGGAACAUCGUUCAGACCUGCAAGAGACUUCACAGCUGAUCACAGUAGUCCUGCGUCCUACAGCACAGGAACUUUACACAUGUAUAAACUGAGAUAGAGUGCUAUGAAUGUGUCAUCAAAUGACAAUAAGGGGAAAUCGUUGGGUCCAUUUAAUUCUUUGCUUCGUAUGUUAUAGCCAUUUACAUAUUGGUAAGUAAACAAGAGGAUACUUUGACAAUAAUUGUUAACUUCUGUGUACUGAGACGGGUGUUGCUGGCAGCAGGAUGAUCACUUCAGAACUAAAUGAGCAAAAUCUAGGUGCUUAUGCUUGCUGGGGCUGCCCACCUAUAUGUCUCCCAAUGCCCCCAGUUUCUGUCAUACUCUUAUAAACUUGUGAAGGGCAACCUAAGAGUCCAGAGAAACCAUGAAGGUGUAUGUUAGGACUGCUUUGAACCACGGACAGGUGCAAGUACGCCUGCUACUUAGAACAAUUUGAGAAGUGGCCCUGUGAAAAUAAAUCAGAUCUGAAAACCUGAACUGGAAGGUUCUCAAGAUGGUAUGUUUACUACAUCUCUUGCAGGAUA